GUGCAGGCAGGGAGAGCAAACGUGGUUUUAGGCAUCUCUAAUGAGGUCUUGCCCAGUUUCUGCUUCCCAGGAAGGGGCUUCAGCUAUUCCCCCCUCCCCAGCACACCCCCUCCCGCUCUCCCUGGCUGUGAGUCUGAUCAUCCUGAAAAUUAAAAAUAAAACAAAAUGCAGCAGCACUUAAAGAACGAGUGGAAAGUCAUGGAGCCGGGACAGGCCCUCGGGUUCUGCUGCAGAGCCCCUUGCUCCCACUCUGCCAUCCCUGCACCCCGAAGGUGAGUCUAGACUGGGGUCUCAGGCCAUUCCUGUCCCCUUAAAAAGCACCUCUCUGCCUCCCUCAUCGAAAAGGAAGAAAAGCUCUGGACAAAGAAAAAGCUCUGGGUGUUAGGCAGCCCUUCCCACCCUGCUCCCUACCCUGUGGGAAGGACACCCAUCCUCAGCUGUCCUGCUCAUCCUGGUGCAGGGAUGGGAGGGGGCUGGUGGAAAGGGGUGCAGAGAGGGUAGUUUGGCCUCCAACUCUGGCACUUUGUGUUCAUGAGUAAAUAUUUGCUAAUGGCAGCAUGGCUGGGCGAAUGUAGGGGAGCUGCUGCUCCCCCCGUCGGAGCAGGCAGGGAAAUGAAUAUGAAUUUAUCAUGAUUAGGUGAACUCAGCAGGGAGAGCGGGAGAGAGAGGGCUAGGCAGGGAGGGGGCGGGCGAAGAUGGAUCUGUGCAAUAAAAUUAAAUAAGGACACCAAAUAGAGUCACUUCUCACGCACUCGCCCGCCCUCCCGCGUGCAGGGCCUCUCCUGCCUCCCGCGCUUCUCUGGCUUUGCUGAUUUCUCUCUUUCCUCGAAUUUAUGAGGCCAAUUAUGAAGAUGAGGUUGGAAGUUCUCAGAAGUUCACUAAAUGCAAAGUGUGGUCCCUGCUGUUCCUAUCAAAUUAAUUAACCAAGUGCUAUUGAUGGCCGGGCUGACGUCGGUGCGGAGCGUGAGGGAAGGGCUGCUGGGUGCAGCUGAGCAAGCCUGGAGGGCAGAGCACCCUGCAGGGCACCCUCAGGGCCAGUGGGUGCAGAGUGAGCCCUGCCUGGGCAGCCACUGGGCAGCAGGAGCAAGGAAUGCAGCAGGGCAUGUGUCAGGUCCCGGUGUGAUGGUUUGUAUUGCAGUCCCUGUUUGCAGCAGUUUCCUCUGUCUGGAGUCCUCAGACCAGGGAUCCCACAGAGGCAGAACACAGAGGGCAGAUCCAAGCAUCCCUACAGGUGUCCAGCUCCUGGCAUGGCUCUGGCUGUGUGUCUCCACCAUCCCAGCUCCUGCUUCUCUUUGCUGGCUUCACUCCUGUCCCAGUGAUCAAUGGGCUUUGGUUGGGCUGGAAAACAGCACAAACAGAGGCAUUUACAACCCUGCUGUCUCUCCAACAGGGCCAUAACUCAGGCUCCCCGUCACCGUGGGGAAUGGGAGCCAGGAGCUCCUGCUUUGGUGGCAGCAGCAGCACCGACAUUUUUCCUCCCGUGGUAAAUGUGUUACUUGGGGAUAAUUUACCUGCUUAUGUCAGGUUUUAAAAAGAAACAGACUGGCUGCUGAGCAGCUCAUGACACUUGCAGUUUGCAUGGCAUGAACACACAUGUCUACCCAGAGAAAAGAGAUCACCUAAGCUGAAAGGACCUGUUUGCAAAUGUCUGCACUUUGGAGCCGCAGUCUCGGCGUGGAGUCUGUCGAGCACUGAGCCUGAGAUCUUGCCACAGUCCGUCCCUCCAUGGGCUCUCCAGGGUGUGCAGCCACCGGCAGGCUCUGGCAAUGCCCACUGCGCCGGAGCUGCCUGGGGCUGCCUGUCCCACGUCUCCCGCAGGGUCCAUCCUCUGCCCGCACCCCUUCUCCAGGAUGUUCUGGUCAGUGGUAUAAAGCCUGGAGAAGGGGCUCCUUGUUGGGGGAAACUGAAGAACACAUGGACUGGUGGUUUCAUGAACAUGAACAGCAGAGCCAGGGAGGGCACCAGGUGUCUGAGCCCAGCUCCUGCCCAGGACUGAGGGUGAGGGACCAGCAGGACCUGAUACAGCUUUUCAAGGUCUACUUGGACACUACUAGAGAAUACAGCCUUAUCCUCACCAGACAGAACCAGUGCUUUUGAAAGCCUCAAUCCAGGGAGCUGGAUUUCAACAUGGGGAAGCAGCUUUGGACAUGGAAAAGCGGCUCAGAGCUCACCCAGCCAUAUCCUUCCUGAGAAGCCUGCAGUGGAGCAGCUGGGAAGGCCUCCCAGGCAAGACAAGCAGAGACGAAGCCCAAAUCCCUCUUUUGCAGGAGUACCAGGUCAGUGGCAUGGGGCAGUUUGAACUACAACCCCCCCAAAAAAUCUUGUCCCAAUAGCCUCAGAAAAAACUGAGGGGUUGCCAGAGUUCCAUGAGCAUGGGGGUUCCUCACCCCCAGGCCCUGAUGGAAAAGAGGAUGGACAUGUCCUUUGACAUGGUACCCUCAAACGAGUCCCCAGGAACAAAUACAUCCAAAGGACACCAUAGAAUAUUUCCAGUGACCCUCAGUCCUUGGAAAGAGGGCACUUCUGGCUCUGGUGGCAUCCAAAACCCUGACAGAAAUGGGUCCUGACCCCACAUUUCCCAGGUCUGCCCCAUCUCACUGGCCACUUAGAGCAGUCCUUGGCCGUAAGGCAACAUUCCGACUCCUUGGCUAUGCCAGGACCCCAGGAAUGGGGGGCCGGUCCCAGGGGGGCCAUUGCCUCACACAUGGAGGGCAGGGGGCAUCCUCCAAGCUGCCCCACAUGCUGGGUGGGAGAGAUAGAUAAAUACCAGAAUAAAUAAAUACAAGUGGCAAAGAGGCCUGAAAUGAUGCUGUCGUUUGCUGGGAAUGAGAGACACAAGUGUAAUUUAGGUUUUGAUAUUAUCAAAGUCUCGCUGCUCUAAAACAGCAGGGCACUCAGUGCCUCAUUAAUAAAGGAUAAACUUGGAGUCUAUUUACAAUGCACUUUUUGGGGUUAUUUACACUCCAUUAUACAUAUGUAAU